UGAGGAAUAUUGGUCAAUGGACGAGAGUCUGAACCAGCCAAGUAGCGUGAAGGAUGAAGGCCCUAUGGGUCGUAAACUUCUUUUAUAGGGGAAUAAAGUGCGGAACGUGUUCCGUUUUGUAUGUACCCUACGAAUAAGGAUCGGCUAACUCCGUGCCAGCAGCCGCGGUAAUACGGAGGAUCCGAGCGUUAUCCGGAUUUAUUGGGUUUAAAGGGAGCGUAGGUGGAUAUAUAAGUCAGUUGUGAAAGUUUGCGGCUCAACCGUAAAAUUGCAGUUGAUACUGUAUAUCUUGAGUGUACAAGAGGUGGGCGGAAUUCGUGGUGUAGCGGUGAAAUGCUUAGAUAUCACGAAGAACUCCGAUUGCGAAGGCAGCUCACUAGAGUACAACUGACACUGAGGCUCGAAAGUGUGGGUAUCAAACA
rnacentral:rRNA from 1 species